rnacentral:sRNA from 1 species
UUUAGGUUGGCUGAGACGAAAAUGGAGACGGUGUUUGGC